rnacentral:rRNA from 1 species
UAGGGUUCGAAUCCGGAGAGGGAGCCUGAGAAACGGCUACCACUUCCAAGGAAGGCAGCAGGCGCGCAAAUUACCCAAUCCCGACACGGGGAGGUAGUGACAAGAAAUACCAUUGUAAUGUCUCCUAGAGAGGCUUACGAUUGGAAUGAGUACAAUUUAAAUCCCUUAACGAGUAACGAUUGGAGGGCAAGUCUGGUGCCAGCAGCCGCGGUAAUUCCAGCUCCAAUAGCGUAUAUUAAAGUUGUUGCAGUUAAAAAGCUCGUAGUUGGAUUUCGGAAGGUCCUUAGCAGUCCGCCCCUUCGGGGAGCGGGCUGCUGGCCUCCUAUGUUCCUAACGGUCCUCAUCCGCGAGGGUGGGGAAUCAACCGCUAGGAUCGUUUACUUUGAGGAAAUUAGAGUGUUCAAAGCAGGCGUAACUCGCCUCCGAAUACGUUAGCAUGGGAUAAUGGAAUACGACUUCGGUCUUGUUUCGUUGGUUUCGCUUGGCUGAAGUAAUGAUUGAUAGGGACAGUUGGGGGCAUUAGUAUUUAGUUGUCAGAGGUGAAAUUCUAGGAUUUACUAAAGACUGACCAAUGCG